ensembl:lncRNA
CUCCAGGCCCCGGCAGAACCAAGAUGGCUACCUGAGCACCGACGAAACGAAGUUCACUUUCUCACUGUAAAUACUGAAGCUUGUUGUGCUUCUCCGCCAUGGACGGAUCACUGUGUGUGGACAAUGAAUACAGAUGGUGGCACCAAUGUUGAGCUGAAGGACUUGCAACUGUGGAUGGAAAGCUGUUCAAGUAAUGUCAGUACAUUUUAUUCCUUAUUCAACUUUAGUCCAUCUUCAUGUUCUAGAGGCAUCAGAGUUAUACUACAGUGCCGAUCAAAAGUUUAAGACCACUUGAAAAAUGGCAAAAAAUCUUAUUUUGCAUGUUUGGAUCUUAACAGGGUUAAAGUAGAGUUUUAACAUGCAACAAGAAGAAAUGGGAGUGAGAUGAAAUAUUUUUCAAUCAUGCAAUUUAUUGAAAACAAUGCUUAAACUGAAACAGGCUGUUUUUACACCUGAUCAAAAGUUUAGGAUCACACCUCCAAAAAAAAACCUGCCAACACCCCCUAAACAGAAAUCAAGUUUCCAAACAUGACCAAAGCGGUGUGUAAGCAAAGUAUUCAAACACGGCUAACUUGCAUGAGCAUGUAAGUGUCAAUCAUCCGGCUGAUUAUGCUAGGUGUCACCAGCUUCUGCAGCUCCAUCAACAAGCAUUUUGAAGUGAUCUUAAACUUUCGAUCAGAACUAUAGUCAUCUACAGAUCUUAUCCUGAUACAUUUUAUCUGUGU